rnacentral:lncRNA from 1 species
AGUUUUAAUCAAAGAGCCAAAAAUAUUCCUAGACUGAAAACGAGGCGAACGUUCUAUCAUGUCUUGUUUAACACAAGUUCCGAAGUGCUUAGUGAGCUAAAUGUUAGAGAAUAUUUAUAAAUCUUUCGUACCUUUUGCUGUCGGUUAAAAUACAAUACAUCAAAGCAUUUCAUCUAUAGCGUUGCAUAAAGAUGCAUCAAGAUUUUAAAGCAGUGUUCGUGUGUUAAUUGCUUUUCUUCACUCCAUUGCACAUGCUAAUUAGUGUUUAUGGAUAACAAGUCAUAAUAGUCUGAUAAGCCUGGUACUGGCUGGAUAUUACCUGUGCACUCCUCAAGGCGAAUGGAAUUAAUGCUACGCAAAUUCCGUGAUGAAAAACAUGAACACAUGUAAGAGGGUGUCGUUCGGAAGUAAAGGUUCUAUGGUGGAGACGUUGAUAAUAGAGGAUAUACCUUAUUAUACAGAGAGGCAUGUCUGCACAAAUACCAUCAACAAUAACAAAAAGUUGUGUCACAUAAUGGUAUAUACUGACAAUGAUUGUGCUUGCCAUGUCUGACUGCCAGCAAGAUAUUCUUUCUAACCAGGCUACCGACUAUAUUUUAUAAAUGUACUGUUAGUAAUAUGAAAAGUACUACCAAACCUCUAUGUUUUUGGUGCGUCAAGGUUUCAUUUACUAUUGUAUAAAUCUGACAUGCAGAUAUGGUGCCGAUUUACAACUGUAUCUGUCUUAAAUGAAAUGAUUAGGACAUCUCAGUACCAUAUUGCCUUGCUUAUUUCAGUGCUAAUUAAAAAAGCGUUAACUUUAUGAUAAAUUACAUAUCAGACGCAUAUUUAUAAUACUAGAAGUUGCACAUCAGCACUACAUGCAUAUUUAAAGAAUACUGCUUCUUUAUGACUCACUAAAAAGG